rnacentral:rRNA from 1 species
AACGUAGGAGACAAACGUUAUCCGGAGUUACUGGGCGUAAAGGGCGUGUAGGCGGUUUGUUAAGUCUGGCGUGAAAGCUCUCGGCUAAACCGGGAGAGGUCGUUGGAUACUGGCAAACUAGAGGACGGUAGAGGCGUGUGGAAUUCCGGGUGUAGUGGUGAAAUGCGUAGAUAUCGUAAGGAAGACCAGUGGCGAAGGCGGGUCUCUGGACAGUUCCUGACGCUGAGGCACGAAGGUCAGGGGAGCAAACGGG